AGAGUUUGAUCCUGGCUCAGGACGAACGCUGGCGGCGUGCCUAAUACAUGCAAGUAGAACGCUGAAGAGAGGAGCUUGCUCUUCUUGGAAGAGUUGCGAACGGGUGAGUAACGCGUAGGUAACCUGCCUUGUAGCGGGGGAUAACUAUUGGAAACGAUAGCUAAUACCGCAUAACAAUGGGUGACCCAUGUCAUUCAUUUGAAAGGGGCAACUGCUCCACUACAAGAUGGACCUGCGUUGUAUUAGCUAGUAGGUGAGGUAACGGCUCACCUAGGCGACGAUACAUAGCCGACCUGAGAGGGUGAUCGGCCACACUGGGACUGAGACACGGCCCAGACUCCUACGGGAGGCAGCAGUAGGGAAUCUUCGGCAAUGGGGGCAACCCUGACCGAGCAACGCCGCGUGAGUGAAGAAGGUUUUCGGAUCGUAAAGCUCUGUUGUAAGUCAAGAACGAGUGUGAGAGUGGAAAGUUCACACUGUGACGGUAGCUUACCAGAGAGGGACGGCUAACUACGUGCCAGCAGCCGCGGUAAUACGUAGGUCCCGAGCGUUGUCCGGAUUUAUUGGGCGUAAAGCGAGCGCAGGCGGUUUGAUAAGUCUGAAGUUAAAGGCUGUGGCUCAACCAUAGUUCGCUUUGGAAACUGUCAAACUUGAGUGCAGAAGGGGAGAGUGGAAUUCCAUGUGUAGCGGUGAAAUGCGUAGAUAUAUGGAGGAACACCGGUGGCGAAAGCGGCUCUCUGGUCUGUAACUGACGCUGAGGCUCGAAAGCGUGGGGAGCGAACAGGAUUAGAUACCCUGGUAGUCCACGCCGUAAAC
rnacentral:rRNA from 1 species